rnacentral:sRNA from 1 species
AUUGGCAAAUGAUGAGUAGAAUCUUAUCCUAC